UGUUAAAAAAAAAAAAAACCCAUCACAUAUCCAACCCCACCUCACUGACGGCAGCGGCGAAGAGGCCGACAACAACGGCGGAGGCCGAACGAGGAACGACUGAGACGUGGGCUGAACGAAGAAAGAUGGCCAUGGGUUUUGCGACCAAGACGGCGGCCUUUCGGGGAGCGAAUUGCCGUGGGUUUUGUGACCAGGGCGGCGUGCUUCUGGGAGAGCCUCGCGGGUGUGUUGCUGGAUCGUUGGUGGUGGCUGUGGCGGAUCCGGGUCUGUCGUUCCAGUGACGGCGGUGGCUCGGGGCUGGUCGCUCCGGCGGCGGCUUGGGGCUGGUCGCUCUAGCGGCAGAGGCGGCUGUUGGGUUUACUUGGUCGGUCGGCGGCGAGACGGAUGAUAUGAUCUUCAACUUUCUUGUCGUUAGGGUUUUGGGACGGUGGCUCCUACUGGGUCAGUGGUGAGACGGACGGUGUGAUCUUCCACUUUCUUGUCAUUAGGGGGACGGCGGCUUGUACUUGGUCGGCGGCGAGAUGGAGGGUGUGAUCUUUCACUUUCUUUUCGUUAGGGUUUUGGACCGGUGGCUCGUACUUGGUCGGCCUCGAGACGGACGGUGUGAUCUUCCACGGCCAGGCUUUCAAGCGAGGCAUUCUUAGAGAUUUUGGAAAAUCUGAGUAAGCUGUUUGAGGAAAUGUCUGAAAGGUGUGUUGUUGCGUGCGUUUCUGGCCGCCGUUGUUUGGCCUCCUUGAGGUUGAUGAUGAUCGGCGGAGGUGCCGUCGGUGAUUUCAACGAUUGGGUGCGACGAUUUGGCGGUGGCUUUUUCACGGACGAUUGCGCGUAUGGUGAUUGGAAAAACAGCUGCUGGGCCCCUUUACAGUUACUUGAUUCCUCUCGUUCUUCUUCUCGUUGAUGGUUGGCCUUUUCGUUUUGUGUUGGAACUCACCUUAUUCCACAAACCAACAAGGAUAGGAGAGGGAUGAGCUAUGUUUUCUGACAACAAUUCUGCAUGAACUUGUGAAGUUUAACCAUUACAAAUUUGCUAUCUAUUGUGGUAAUGCUUUAUCAGAUUAAUAAAUAUCUUUACUUAUUUCUUUCCUAAGAAUAGAACGCAGAGGAAGGUCUUCUUAAUAAAA